GGUGAACGCUGGCGGCGUGCUUAAGACAUGCAAGUCGAACGGCAGUCUUCGGACUGUAGUGGCGCACGGGUGAGUAACGCGUAACUGACCUACCCCAAAGUCGCGGAUAACGAUUCGAAAGAAUCGCUAAUACGUGAUGUGCUGUCAGAUUGUGUUCUGCCAGUAAAGAUUGAUUGCUUUGGGAUGGGGUUGCGUUCCAUCAGCUAGUUGGUGGGGUAAAGGCCCACCAAGGCGACGACGGAUAGCGGGCCUGAGAGGGAGGCCGGCCACAGGGGCACGGAGACACGGGUCCCACUCGUACGGGAGGCAGCAGUUAGGAAUCUUCCACAAUGGGCGAAAGCCUGAUGGAGCGACGCCGCGUGAGGGAUGAAGGUCUUCGGAUCGUAAACCUCUGAAUCAGGGACGAAAGACACUUCGGUGGGAUGACGGUACCUGAGUAAUAGCACCGGCUAACUCCGUGCCAGCCGCCGCCGUAACAC
rnacentral:rRNA from 1 species